GACGUAGGGCGCGAGCGUUGUCCGGAUUUAUUGGGCGUAAAGAGCUCGUAGGCGGCUUGUUGCGUCGGCUGUGAAAACCCGCAGCUCAACUGUGGGCUUGCAGCCGAUACGGGCAGGCUAGAAUUCGGUAGGGGAGACUGGAAUUCCUGGUGUAGCGGUGAAAUGCGCAGAUAUCAGGAGGAACACCGGUGGCGAAGGCGGGUCUCUGGGCCGUAACUGACACUGAGGAGCGAAAGCAUGGGGAGCGAACAGG
rnacentral:rRNA from 1 species